GACGAACGCUGGCGGCGUGCCUAAUACAUGCAAGUCGAGCGAUGAAGGUUGGCUCUUGCACCAAUUUGAAGAGCAGCGAACGGGUGAGUAACGCGUGGGGAAUCUGCCUUUGAGCGGGGGACAACAUUUGGAAACGAAUGCUAACACCGCAUAACAACUUUAAACAUAAGUUUUAAGUUUGAAAGAUGCAAUUGCAUCACUCAAAGAUGAUCCCGCGUUGUAUUAGCUAGUUGGUGAGGUAAAGGCUCAACAAGGGGAUGAUACAUAGCCGACCUGAGAGGGUGGUCGGCCCAAUUGGGACUGGGACACGGCCCAAACUCCUACGGGGGGCAGCCGGAGGGGAACUUCGGCCAUGGACGGAAGUCUGGACGAGCAACGGCGCGUGGGGGGAGAAGGGUUUCGGGUCGUAAAACUCUGUUGGUAGGGAAGAAAGUUGGUGAGGGUGGAACGCUCAUGAAGUGACGGUAACUACACAGAAAGGGACGGCUAACUACGUG
rnacentral:rRNA from 1 species